AGGUCCACAGGGCAGACAAUCAGGAAGAGAGGAGAGAAAAUUGCAGUUCCAGCUGCUGCUUCAUAUCAAUGAGGUAAUAUUCAGAGGCUCCAAGGGUUUGGAAGUGAAUAUAUAUUUUUGUGGGGUCACUAUUUAACUCGCUCCAGCCUUUAAUCUGUUGUGAGUCGUGUGCAUCUCUAAGACGAGGGAUUAUCAUUAAAGUAAGAAGGAAGCUUUUCUUCCUUUAAAUGAUGAAUCCUUGAAUGCCACAGAAUAAUGGAUCAGACGGUUGGGAGGGGC